CACGUAGUUAGCCGGGGCUUUCUUCUCAGGUACCGUCACCUUGUGAGCAGUUACUCUCACAAGUGUUCUUCCCUGGCAACAGAGCUUUACGAUCCGAAAACCUUCAUCACUCACGCGGCGUUGCUCCGUCAGACUUUCGUCCAUUGCGGAAGAUUCCCUACUGCUGCCUCCCGUAGGAGUCUGGGCCGUGUCUCAGUCCCAGUGUGGCCGAUCACCCUCUCAGGUCGGCUACGCAUCGUCGCCUUGGUGAGCCGUUACCUCACCAACUAGCUAAUGCGCCGCAGGUCCAUCCAUAAGUGACAGAUUGCUCCGUCUUUCCCGAUUCUCUCAUGCGAGAAAAUCGCGUAUCCGGUAUUAGCAUUCGUUUCCGAAUUGUUAUCCCAGUCUUAUGGGCAGGUUACCUAGUGUUACUCACCCGUCCGCCGCUAAGUCUCAAGGAAGCAAGCUUCUAUCAACUCGCUCGACUUGCAUGUAUAGGCACGCCGC
rnacentral:rRNA from 1 species